CCAACUUCGGUUUCUCCUUGCUCAAGCAAAACCCCCAGAAAAAAGAAGCUCGCGAAAGCUCACGAAUCUAACUCACUGAGUCAUCCGCAAUGGAAGGGCAAGAGGGAACUCAGCAACCGCACCUCGUGCUUGCACACAAGCGCUUCCUCCUUACCCAUCCCGAUGUCCAAGACAUUGAAAAGGUUCGCCUCAAGGAGGAGGUCUUUGCGGCUGUCAAGGCUGACGAUAUGGUGCCGUUGUACGAAACCCUAGUGGGCGAAGGGUUACUGGAGAAGGAUCUGAGCGUUUUGGAGUCGAUGCGUGCGAAGAAUGAGGAGGAGCUCAAGAGGCUUGAGGAGAAGAUUGCUGAUGCUGAAGAAAACUUAGGUGAAAGUGAAGUUCGAGAAGCUCAUUUGGCCAAAUCUUUGUUCUACAUUCGAACUGGUGACAAGGAUAAAGCAUUGGAGCAACUAAAGGUGACAGAAAGCAAAACAGUUGCAGUUGGGCAAAAGAUGGACUUGGUAUUCUAUACUUUACAGCUUGGCUUUUUCUACAUGGAUUUUGAUCUCAUUUCCAAGAGCAUUGAUAAAGCAAAGAACUUGUUUGAAGAGGGAGGUGAUUGGGAAAGGAAGAACCGAUUGAAGGUCUAUGAGGGCUUGUAUUUCAUGUCCACUCGAAAUUUCAAGAAGGCAGCUAAAUUGUUUCUGGAUUCCAUUUCCACAUUCACUACCUAUGAACUUUUCCCUUAUGACACUUUCAUAUUUUACACUGUACUUACAAGCAUAAUAUCAUUGGAUAGAGUUUCCCUGAAGCAAAAGGUAGUGGAUGCUCCUGAGAUCUUGACGGUGAUUGGGAAAAUCCCAUACCUUUCUGAGUUUUUAAAUUCCUUAUAUGAUUGUCAGUACAAAUCAUUUUUCUCCGCAUUUGCUGGCCUCACAGAGCAAAUUAAACUUGAUCGCUAUUUGCAUCCACACUUCCGAUAUUACAUGAGGGAGGUCAGAACUGUUGUCUAUUCUCAGUUUUUAGAAUCCUACAAGAGUGUUACCAUUGAAGCAAUGGCAAAGGCGUUUGGUGUGACAGUGGAUUUCAUUGAUCUGGAAUUAUCACGUUUUAUUGCAGCAGGGAAGCUUCAUUGCAAGAUUGAUAAGGUUGCAGGUGUUCUUGAAACUAACCGCCCUGAUGCAAAGAAUGCUCUUUACCAAGCUACUAUCAAGCAAGGAGAUUUCUUAUUAAACCGUAUCCAGAAGCUCUCACGUGUAAUUGAUCUGUGAAGUUUGUAGGCAUUUCUCGGUGGUUUGCCAAGGAUGCCAAAAUUUGCAUUUUCAAAGAAAAACAGAGGACAAGUAUCGUGAUCACACACGCUGAGAUCCAGUUCUCUUCUUUGCCAGUCCAAUUUCUGAAUUGGUAGACUCCAUAAGAUCAUAAAAAUUGUUGGUCUCCAGUAUUUAAGUUUAGCUUGAGAAUUCCAAGGAGGACCUCAAGAGUGUUUAGGAAGACGUCGAGAACAGUUCUUUCAGUAGUUUGUAUUUGCUCUUAAUUUUUGUUUUUUCUUUUCCUUUUUUUUUUUUUAUAUUUAUGCUGAAGUAAAAGAUAUGGAAAGUUGGGGUAUUAAACUAUGUAUGAGAUUUAACUAAAUGCAUCCACGGUCGAGUUAAAUCCGUA